rnacentral:rRNA from 1 species
AUGGAGCCGACCUUGAAAUACCACCCUUUAAUGUUUGAUGUUCUAACGUUGACCCGUAAUCCGGGUUGCGGACAGUGUCUGGUGGGUAGUUUGACUGGGGCGGUCUCCUCCUAAAGAGUAACGGAGGAGCACGAAGGUUGGCUAAUCCUGGUCGGACAUCAGGAGGUUAGUGCAAUGGCAUAAGCCAGCUUGACUGCGAGCGUGACGGCGCGAGCAGGUGCGAAAGCAGGUCAUAGUGAUCCGGUGGUUCUGAAUGGAAGGGCCAUCGCUCAACGGAUAAAAGGUACUCCGGGGAUAACAGGCUGAUACCGCCCAAGAGUUCAUAUCGACGGCGGUGUUUGGCACCUCGAUGUCGGCUCAUCACAUCCUGGGGCUGAAGUAGGUCCCAAGGGUAUGGCUGUUCGCCAUUUAAAGUGGUACGCGAGCUGGGUUUAGAACGUCGUGAGACAGUUCGGUCCCUAUCUGCCGUGGGCGCUGGAGAACUGAGGGGGGCUGCUCCUAGUACGAGAGGACCGGAGUGGACGCAUCACUGGUGUUCGGGUUGUCAUGCCAAUGGCACUGCCCGGUAGCUAAAUGCGGAAGAGAUAAGUGCUGAAAGCAUCUAAGCACGAAACUUGCCCCGAGAUGAGUUCUCCCUGACUCCUUGAGAGUCCUGAAGGAACGUUGAAGACGACGACGUUGAUAGGCCGGGUGUGUAAGCGCAGCGAUGCGUUGAGCUAACCGGUACUAAUGAACCGUGAGGCUUAACCUUACAACGCCGAAGGUGUU